AUUUGGAGAUCGUGGUGUGAAAGGAAUGAUGCUAGCUGCAAAGUAUGCCAGAGAAAAUAAAGUUCCAUAUCUUGGGAUUUGCUUGACCAUGCCGAUUUCUGUUAUUGAGUAUGCUAGAUCUAUAUAUGCGGUUUCUAUUACUAUUCGUAUUGUGCUUGGUUUUAUGUUGCUCG